rnacentral:lncRNA from 1 species
UUAUUGUUUCAUUUUCACUAUUUGGGCUUAAUUUGACUAGUAAUUAUUGUUUUAAUUGUUUUGAAUUAAUUGGGCUUAGCUAUUCUAAUUAUUAUUUACAAGACAAAUUUUGGAAUCAUAUUUUGGGACAAUAAGAGUGUUACCACAUCAUUUCCCAUUUUCCACAUCAAUAUUUUAUUUUAAUUUUGUUUGUAAUUUCAUUUUUAUUAUUUUUGGACCAGAUUUGAAUUUUGGGCCUACUUUUGGUCAAAUUAGGAGAAGCCCAUAUAAAGGAAUUUUCGUCUUUUGAGGUUAUUAAUACCCAAAAUCAAAUUUAGGUUCUCCUCUUCUUCUUCAUUUUUGCGUUUUUUCAUCCCCCGCCCCCCCUUUUAGGGGUUUUAGGUUUUUUCUUUCACUAUCCUUUUAGUAUUGAAUCCCGUCUUUAAUUCCAAUUUCACUUUCGUUUUAUACUCUCGCUUCAAUUUACGCUUUCUG